rnacentral:sRNA from 12 species
GGCCUAAACCCCGCGAUUUCCUCGCCGGGCAUGGUCGAAAAUCGUCAGGAACAUAGAGAACCCGUCAUAGGGCGUUCCUGACGUUAUGCAGGGAAACUUGCAUAAGGCCGAAAGGCCU